rnacentral:rRNA from 1 species
UGCGGAAGGAUCAUUACCGAGUGCGGGUCCUUUGGGCCCAACCUCCCAUCCGUGUCUAUUGUACCCUGUUGCUUCGGCGGGCCCGCCGCUUGUCGGCCGCCGGGGGGGCGCCUCUGCCCCCCGGGCCCGUGCCCGCCGGAGACCCCAACACGAACACUGUCUGAAAGCGUGCAGUCUGAGUUGAUUGAAUGCAAUCAGUUAAAACUUUCAACAAUGGAUCUCUUGGUUCCGGCAUCGAUGAAGAACGCAGCGAAAUGCGAUAACUAAUGUGAAUUGCAGAAUUCAGUGAAUCAUCGAGUCUUUGAACGCACAUUGCGCCCCCUGGUAUUCCGGGGGGCAUGCCUGUCCGAGCGUCAUUGCUGCCCUCAAGCCCGGCUUGUGUGUUGGGUCGCCGUCCCCCUCUCCGGGGGGACGGGCCCGAAAGGCAGCGGCGGCACCGCGUCCGAUCCUCGAGCGUAUGGGGCUUUGUCACAUGCUCUGUAGGAUUGGCCGGCGCCUGCCGACGUUUUCCAACCAUUCUUUCCAGGUUGACCUCGGAUCAGGUAGGGAUACCCGCUGAACUUAAGCAUAUCAAUA